rnacentral:rRNA from 1 species
UACGGAGGAUCCAAGCGUUAUCCGGAUUUAUUGGGUUUAAAGGGUGCGUAGGCGGUUCUUUAAGUCAGGGGUGAAAGACGGCAGCUUAACUGUCGCAGUGCCUUUGAUACUGAUGAACUUGAAUGAACUAGAGGUAGGCGGAAUGUGACAAGUAGCGGUGAAAUGCAUAGAUAUGUCACAGAACACCAAUUGCGAAGGCAGCUUACUAUGGUUUGAUUGACACUGAGGCACGAAAGCGUGGGGAUCAAACAGG